rnacentral:rRNA from 1 species
GACGAACGCUGGCGGCGUGCCUAAUACAUGCAAGUCGAGCGAAGCUUUUUUAACUGGUGCUUGCACCGACUUAAACAACUGAGUGGCGAACGGGUGAGUAACACGUGGGUAACCUGCCCCAAAGCGGGGGAUAACAUUUGGAAACAGAUGCUAAUACCGCAUAACCACAGAAACCGCAUGGUUUCUGUGUCAAAGAUGGUUUCGGCUAUCACUUUGGGAUGGACCCGCGGCGUAUUAGCUAGUUGGUAAGGUAAUGGCUUACCAAGGCAAUGAUACGUAGCCAAACUGAGAGGUUGAUCGGCCACAUUGGGACUGAGACACGGCCCAAACUCCUACGGGAGGCAGCAGUAGGGAAUCGUCCGCAAUGGACGAAAGGCUGAUGGAGCAACGCCGCGUGAGUGAAGAAGGUUUUCGGAUCGUAAAACUCUGUUGUCAGAGAAGAACGUGUGCGAGAGUAACUGUUCGUGCAGUGACGGUAUCUGGCCAGAAAGCCACGGCUAACUACGUGCCAGCCGCCGCCGUAA